GCGCUCGGGCUCCGCAGUCGGACGCAUGCGGCAGUGGGAGCGGGGCGGAGCAUCGCGGGCGGAGCCGCAGGGAGCGGCAGUGGCGCUGAGCAGGCUGCAGCGGAAUGGCGGCGAGCACAGAGCGGCAGGCAGGCAGGCGGGCAGGGCGUUUCGGGCCAGAGGGAAGCCUCCCGCGUUCCCCGGCAGAGCUGCGUUCUUUGUCUCUCGCAGCAGAGGAGUUUGGGCAGCUGCAGGGAUGGAUUUGCCUGCACUCAAGCUGCUGCUGCCAGAGCCCCUCCGUGUCAAUCUGUGCUGCCGUUGGGUUCUGCAGCUCUCUCCAGCAAGCAUGGCAUGAGCUGAAGGAGCAGCAGGAGCAGCAUGGCCGUUCCCCAGGCAGCAGGAGGGUUCAGCCCAGCACCAGCUCAUGCGGGAGGAGCAGAUGCUGAGGAACAUCCCCCACGAGACGCAGGUGGCCAAAGAGGCUGGGUCAGGAGAGUCCCAUUUCAUUCUUGAUGCUUUCUUUAAGAGAGGCAUACAACUGAGCUCCCUCAGAGAAGCAGCAUGAAGUGCAUGAAGGAUGCUGGCUGCACUCAGUACAGACAAGGCACAUUGGAGUAGGUUAACAAGAUGCUUGACAUUUGCCCUUAAUGGUCAUUGUCUUCAAAUGCAUCAUUCGGGAGUGAAGUUGCUUGGCAUUUGCAGUUGACUACUUCUUCUCUGGCCUUUGGAGUGAAGGAAGGGAAAAACCAGAGUUGAACACAUCAGCUCUGUAAGUUUUCUCUGGGUGAUCAAAGCAUGCACAAAAUCCUGUGCUUGUGCUCUGGAAGAUUGUAGGAGCUUCCCGGGGACUCAGGGAGCACAAGUUCUGAUAAAGAAAGAUGUGAAUGGAAGCAGGCUCUGACUGCUCUGUGUAACUGAUGAGAAGCUUUCUGAAGGAGGUGAAUUUGUUUUACAGCCCUUCACUCAGCUGGUUACAGAUCUUCAAGGUAGCUGCUGGUGCAGUGUCUGUUGGAGACUGUUAGCCACUCUGAAGGAGGGAGUUAGUGGAGCAUCAUAGGAACAUGUAGAGAGAUUGGUCAGGAGAAGGCAUUUGUGUUACCCUUUUUAGUCAUUUGAGUCACUUUUAUUGUAAUCCCAUGCCUGAGAGCAGGACUCCUUUGUGUCCAGGGUUAAAAUCUUCAAGGAGAAACAGUGCCAAGGCUCUGAAUUGAUUGGGACUUGGUGCUGCUAGUUACAGUGUAGGACAGUUAAGGCAGUCCUAUGUUUUGUGAUUUGCCUUUUUUCCUACCGUUCUAGUUUUGGCUCGGGCUAGUGUGAAGUGUCUCUGGAACGAGGUCCUUGUGGUCCCUUCUGACCCUGACUGAUUCUGUGAUUCCAGCAAGCAGCUUUUGACUUAAAAACCCCUGAGGUCACUGCAGCACCUCUCUAUGGAAUAAAAGAAAGGGAUUUUGCUGCACUGCUGAGAACUGUUUCCAGCUCUGAGCCUUUGUUGUUGUGGUUGUUUUUGGUUCGUGUUUAUAAACAGCAGUAGCUAAGCAAUCCUCUCUGAGCUAUGGACCAGAAUCUGCUGCAUCCUGUGCAAGAAGCAGAUCCCAGUGUGAUCUGGUGCAGCUGUAGCACUUCCUAACUGCUAGGUUUGGGAGGAGGGCAUGUGUCUCAGUCGUUUCUGAGCUGUGGUAGCAAUCAGGUGUCUGCUUAAGUCUUGACCCUCUGCCACGUGCUGCCACGUUCACCAGAUCUUUCUCCCGGCCUCAGGGAGAGAAGGAGUGUCCAGCUCCCAGAGUGGGUGUCAGAAGCGAUGUGAAGUGAAAGGGGUUUGCUGAGGUCAUGUAGGAAGUUGUGUGAGGGAAUCUGGCAGUUUGGUUUUUGAUUUCUUCAGUCUCUAAAGUUUUUCAUCUGAGACCGUAAGUAGCCUUUGCGGCGCUGUCUGCACGUGUGCGGGGGUCUGGGGGCAUCUGUAGGUACCCUUAGGGGCCUGGAGGGCUCUCUGGGUGUCUGUGGAGGUGGUUAGGGGUCGGUAGAGGUGUCUGUGGUGCUGUAGGUGUCUCAAAAGGCUGUGAAGGUCUUGAGGUGCCUUGCAAAGGUCUCGAGGUGUCUGUAGGGGUCUGCAUGGUUCUCUGGCAGUCUGUAGAGGUCUGUGGGGGUCUCUAGGGGCCUCUUAAAGACAUGCAGGGGUCUGCAGGGCUCUAUGGAAAGGUCGGGAGGGGUCCCUAGAGGUCUCUAGGAGGCUGGAGGGGUGUGCAAGUGUCUGUAGCAUUCAGCAGGUGUGUGGAGGUUUCUGUUCUGGGCCCGCAGGUGUCUGCAGGCAUCUUGUAAAGGUCUGCAGGGGUCUGUGGAGCUCUGUCAGGCAUCUGUUAAGUGUCUGCAGGAAUCCAUUGAAGGUGUGGAGGGGGCUGCAGGGCUCUGCAGAGGAGGCUGUGGCUGUGUGUAGAGGUCUUAGGGGUGUGAAGAGUUUGCAGGGGUCUGUAAGGGUCUGCAGAGCCCUUGGAAAGGUCUGAAGUUGUCUGUAGGAGUCUGGAGAUGUCUCUAGGGCACUGCAGGGGUCUGCAGGGGUCUGCUGCUGCGGGAGGAGUGGGCUGGCGGAGCCACGCCCCCCGGGCUGCGGAGCCACGCCCCCUCCCUGGCCUUUCUUGCCUGGCUCUGGUUGCUGCCUCCUUAUUUGCAUAGCCACACCCCCUGUCUCCUUGCUGUCUAGUCCCCGCCCCUUUCUUUCUGAGCCACGCCCCCUCAGUGCAAUGCCUAUUCCCCGCCCCCCUCCAUGGCCACGCCCUCUUCCCAUGCUGUGUGUAGUCCCUGCCAUUUCUGUAGCCACGCCCUCUCCCCCUUGCUGUGCCUGGCCCCGCCCCCUCGGCCGCGCCCCCGCCCCACAGUUACCAAUAGAAUGGUGACAGAUUUGGAGCUUCCUUUGGAGGAGGAGUUCAGGAGGUGGCUGCUGAUUGGUGGAUUGUCGUGGGCGUGGUUUGCCGCUUGUUCUGCCUCCCUCAUUUGCAUACAUUUCAAUAUCAGGCUCUGCCUUUGAGUACCUUGGAGAUGUGUUGGGGGUUGGGGAGGGGUUACUGGGAGGGUCAGCAGCUGAUUGGUGGAUCCUGUGGGGGCUGUGGGCAUGGUCACCCCUGUGCCCCGCCCCCUCAUUAGCAUAAAUGAAGGCAGGGUCCACCUGGCGGAGUUUGGUGCUUUAUUGGGGGGAAGGAACUGGUUAGCAGCUGAUUGGUGCGUCCUCUGGCAUGGGCGGGGCCUGCCCCUGCCCCGCCCCUCCGAAGCGGCCGAUGGUCUCCAGCACAGCCCCAGCAGCUCCAGGAAGGAGGAGACCUUCCCCCGCAGGCCUCCAGCCCCCCGGGAGACCCAGAGCCUGCGGGGGGAGGGCUCAGGGAACCCCGGGACCUCCCAGGGACCCCCAGACCCUCCUCGAGACCUCCCAGGGACCCGCAGACCCUCCCACUGGCCUCCCAGAGACCCCCACUCACCUCCUUGUAUGCCCCCACUAAUCCCCCAGCCCCUCCCCGUCCCCGCCCUGCACCCCCCAGUGCCCACUCAGGCCCUCAGCUUGUCCCCGCAGCACUGCAGCCUGGCCUGGGGGCGCUGCUGAGGCCCUCACCAAAUCGCCACCGCUCGCCGCAGCCUGUCAGUGGCCAUCUGCAAGCUGGCACUGCCCUCACCGAGUGGGCACUGAUCUCACCAAGAUGGCAUUGAACGCGACGGGUUGGAGGGGACCUUAUCAAUAUGGCGCCGAGCGCGACGGACUGGAAGCGACCUCACCAAUAUGGCGUUCAGCGCGACGGGUUGGUGUGACUUCACCAAUAUGCGCCGACCCAGGCGGCCUGGAUGUGACCUCCCUAAUAUGGCGAUGAGCGCGACAGGCUGAAUGUGACCUUACCGAGAUGGUGCCGAGCGCGACGGUCUCGCUGUGACAUCAUCAAUAGGGCGCCGCAACGCCGCAAGCCGGUGGUGACCUUACCAAUAUGGUGCCCAAAGCUGCGGUCUUGGCGAUGCCUUCACCAGGUCGCCAUCGCUCGCCACAGCCUGGCAGUGACUCUCUGCAAGCUGGCGCUGCCCUCACGGAGUUGACGUUAAGCUCACCAAGUUGGCACCGAGUGGCGGCAAGCCGGCGGUGACCUCACCAAUAUGGCGCCGAGCGCUAAGCUCUGCAAGAGACCUCACUAAUAUGGCGACAAGCGCGAUAGGCUGAAUGUGACCUUACCAAGAUGGCGCCGAGCGCGACGGUCUCGCUGUGACCUCAUCAAUGCGGCGCCGAAACACCGCAAGCCGGUGGUGACCUUAACAAUAUGGCGCCGCGGGCUGCCGCUGCAGGCAGCAAUCUGACACUGGCCGCGGCCGGCUGGCAAUGCCCUCACCGAGUUGGCACUGCACACGGCAGGCUGACAAUGCCCUCACUGAGUCGCCACCACUCGCCGCAGAGUUGCAGUGACCCUCUGCAAGCUGUCACUACUCUCACCGAGUUGUAGUGACCUCACCAAGAUGGCGCCAAGAGCGACGGACUUGCUGUGACUUCAUCAAUACGGCGCCGAGCGCCACGAGUUGGCUCUGGCCUCAUCCAUACGGCGCCGAAACUCCGCAAGCCGGCGGUGACCUCACCAAUACGGCGCUCAACGCCGCGGUCCUGGCGCUGCCCGCAGCAAGCUGGCAAUGCCCUCACCGAGUCGCCACGGCUCACCGCAGGCUGGCAGUGACCCUCUGCAAGCUGGCACCGCCCCCCGUGAGCUGGCGCUGCCCGCUCCUAGGCUGGCAGUGCCCUCACCACGACGGCGCCGCCGGCAGCGCAGGCUCACCGGUGACCUCACCAAGAUGGCACCGACGUCCCGCCUGCGACGCUGACCUCACCAAGGUGGCUCCGGGGGCGGUUCCCGCCGCCCCUCCCCUCUCGCAUGCGCAGAGCGCUCAGGCCUGGCCGCAGGGAGGGGCGCAGGGGACAGAGCCACUCUGAAGGCUGCCCGGGGGGCGUCUGGGCCCUGGAGGUGGGAGCUGAACUGCUUUGCCCCAGCCCAGCUGCAGAUCUGCACUCAGCCUCAGCCCCAAGCCCUGGCAGGGUGGGAUGCUUUGGUACCAGGCCGUGGAGCUGUUUGAAAUGCAAUUGCUGCUUGCAGCUGGUUCAGAAAUGGAUUUCCUGUGGCUGUGGGGGCAGAAAUGUCUCUGUGCACACGCUCAGAGGACAGGUCCCUGGAUUGCAGUGCUGCUCCAAUGGCCUGUGGUGGCUGCAGGCAGCCGCGGCCCGGGGAGCCCAAGACUCAGCGUGUGGAAGGGUUGGGAGCAGCCCUGGGUGCCUGCAAGGAUUCGGGAGGUGAGCUGAGCAGGCCCGAGCAGGUCUGAAACCCUGCCACGGAGAGGCACAGGCCCCGCAGCAGUGCCUGCAUUUCAGCAGCUGCCCAUCGGAGCUAAGCACAGCCUCGGCUCAGAGGUUUGCACUUUGCUUUCCACUCCACUGGCCAAGCCAGCCAGAUGUGCAGCAGCAGCAGGAUGGGCACGAGGGCCCCAGCUGCUGCGGUGAAUCCGUCAGCACGGACGCUGGUGCCGCUGCAGCCUGGCCCUGCAGCCUGGCAGGGUGAUCUCCUUUGGCUCGGCUCCUGUGGGCUCCAGCUGCAGGGAUGGAUUUGCCUGCACUCAAGCUGCUGCUGCCAGAGCCCCUCCGUGUCAAUCUGUGCUGCUGUUGGGUUCUGCAGCUCUC